rnacentral:lncRNA from 1 species
UGGAGUCCAGGUGUUAUAAGUCGAUCGUCCCUGAGGAUUUAGGCCAAGACCCUGUCUUGCCUAGCAGGCAUAAAUAAUAAUCCCCGUCGGGAUUGUAGGCAACUGAUCAACCUCGUACGUCCCAUACCGCACGGCAGUGGACUUACACAUUCCUCAAUGCAGGUCUAUAUGAUCACUCAACCAUCUUGUAGAAAAUCUCA